rnacentral:rRNA from 1 species
GAUGAACGCUAGCGGCAGGCCUAAUACAUGCAAGUCGGACGGGAUUUGGGAGCUUGCUCCUAAUGAGAGUGGCGCACGGGUGCGUAACACGUAUGUAACCUACCUUAAUCAGGGGGAUAGCCUCUCGAAAGAGAGAUUAACACCGCAUAAUAUAUUUUUAUGGCAUCGUAGAAAUAUCAAAUAUUUAUAGGAUUAAGAUGGGCAUGCGGAACAUUAGCUAGUUGGUAAGGUAACGGCUUACCAAGGCUACGAUGUUUAGGGGAUCUGAGAGGAUGACCCCCCACACUGGUACUGAGACACGGACCAGACUCCUACGGGAGGCAGCAGUAAGGAAUAUUGGUCAAUGGGCGCAAGCCUGAACCAGCCAUGCCGCGUGCAGGAAGACGGCCCUAUGGGUUGUAAACUGCUUUUGUACCGGAAUAAACCCUUUUACGUGUAAAAGGCUGAAUGUACGGUAAGAAUAAGGAUCGGCUAACUCCGUGCCAGCCGCCGCGGUAAGAC